AUUGAACGCUGGCGGCAUGCCUUACACAUGCAAGUCGAACGGCAGCACGGGGGCAACCCUGGUGGCGAGUGGCGAACGGGUGAGUAAUGCAUCGGAACGUGCCCAGUAGUGGGGGAUAACCAGUCGAAAGACUGGCUAAUACCGCAUACGACCUAAGGGUGAAAGCGGGGGACCGUAAGGCCUCGCGCUAUUGGAGCGGCCGAUGUCUGAUUAGCUAGUUGGCGGGGUAAGAGCCCACCAAGGCGACGAUCAGUAGCUGGUCUGAGAGGACGACCAGCCACACUGGGACUGGGACACGGCCCAGACUCCUACGGGAGGCAGCAGUGGGGAAUUUUGGACAAUGGGCGCAAGCCUGAUCCAGCCAUGCCGCGUGCGGGAAGAAGGCCUUCGGGUUGUAAACCGCUUUUGGCAGGAACGAAACGGCGCAGGCCAAUACCUUGCGCUAAUGACGGUACCUACAGAAUAAGCACCGGCUAACUACGUGCCAGCCGCCGCCGUAACAC
rnacentral:rRNA from 1 species